rnacentral:rRNA from 1 species
GGUCCCAGUUCGGAUUGUAGGCUGCAACCCGCCUACAUGAAGUUGGAAUUGCUAGUAAUCGCAGAUCAGAAUGCUGCGGUGAAUACGUUCCCGGGUCUUGUACACACCGCCCGUCACACCAUGGGAGUCGGAAAUGCCCGAAGCCGGUGACCCAACCAAAAGGAGGGAGCCGUCGAAGGCAGGUCUGAUAACUGGGGUGAAGUCGUAACAAGGUAUC